rnacentral:rRNA from 1 species
ACUCAAAUGAAUAGACGGGGGCUCACACAAGCGGUGGAGUAUGUGGCUUAAUUCGAGGCUACGCGCAAAACCUUAUCCUGGGCUUGACAUGCACGGAUUAGCCGGCGGAAACGUCGGUGACGCCGCAAGGUGGAACGUGCACAGGUGCUGCAUGGCUGUCGUCAGCUCGUGCCGUGAGGUGUUGGGUUAAGUCCCGUAACGAGCGAAACCCUUGCCCCUAGUUGCCAGCGAGUCAUGUCGGGGACUCUAGGGGGACCGCCGGCGUUAAGCCGGAGGAAGGCGGGGAUGACGUCAAGUCCUCAUGGCCCUUAUGCCCAGGGCUGCACACGUACUACAAUGGGCCGGACAGAGCGAUGCCAACUCGCAAGAGCGCGCCAAUCGCAGAAACCGGUCCUCAGUUCGGAUUGUGGGCUGCAACCCGCCCACAUGAAGCUGGAAUCGCUAGUAAUCGCGGAUCAGCAUGCCGCGGUGAAUGGGUUCCUGAGCCUUGUACACACCGCCCGU